rnacentral:lncRNA from 1 species
CCACUUGACACCCUUAGUUGAAGAUUACAUUCUUAAGCUUGCUUAUGAGAGAGGUUUUAAAGAGAAGUGUUAGAUUGUUCAUAUUCACUUUGAUAGGCUGAUUUCCCGACAAUUAUAACUUAGCAUGCGUUACAAAAGAAAUUUCACUUGUAUAACACAAAUCCAAUAUUAGGAUUGCCUCAUCUUCUCAUUUUCUGUACAGCGUCCCAACCUGACCACAUAAAUUAACAUGUUAGUAUUGAUUGGAGAUUCAUCUUUAUAUCAGGAAAAUCAGAGGCCUAAUUAACUGAAUCACAUAUUCAGCCCAAGGAAAAUACUACUAACUUAGAAACGAUUGGUACUAAUUGAACAUCCCUGAAAAAUCGACACCACUUCAGAAAUUUCAUUGUAAAUCCAUGCUGAUAUCCAGAGGCAAGAAACAGAUUAUUUAAGAACUUUAUCAUUUUAGCACAUUGAAUUUAUUAAAACUUAUAAUUCAGUAAAAGGUAGUUUGAAAAGAAGAAAUAUGCGCAAAGUUCAUUCAAUGUAUAGGACACUAACCACGUCAUAGCACAUUAAAACUUGCAUUCAUCCCUUCUGGAACUUUCUUUCUUCCUCUUUCAUAAACCUUUCAAGUUUAUUUUUUCCCCUUAGGAUUACUCUAGCAAAAUGCACACAAACUGGCCCCUUACAAAAUUAGUGCUCACUUUAUUUCUCCAAUUAGCUCAAAGGAAUGUGCAAGUCAAGAUAGGGGGAAAUAAUAUAAAUUUAUGCAUAUGGUUUGUCUAAUUUUCACUCGUGUGGCAGCAGCCAGUUCAUCAGUAGAGAUGUUCCUCAUUACUUUAAGGGAACUACACAUUAUCAGCAUGUACUAAUUUAUACGGUGAUCAUUAUUACUGUUGCAAGGCUUGUCACUCAUCCACUUCUAAGAUUUGUUGACAAGAUAUUUCUAUCAAUCAAAUUAGAGUGUGUUUUGUGUAAGCAGCUGAAAAGGAAAGAUCAGAGCAAAGUGUGCCAACGACUAACAAUGCAUUAAGAAAGGACUGAUGAGGUGAGGUAUUACAAUACCUGUAACUGCUCACGAAUAGUAGGAACGUAUCUAUGCAAAGCAUUAAGCAUUGAUUUCGAUGAUCCAGUUAGUUUCGAAUGAAAUACACUAUCAAUAUUUUUUUAUGAGGUCUACCAGUUUCGUGAAUGAGGUUAAUAUUGUUAUCACCUGUACAAGAGAACCAGAGUAAAAUAGAAGCAUGAAUACCUAAAUAUAUAACAGUCAAUCAGAAUAAAGACAUGCAAUGUACGCAGAUUUUAACAGAACACUGGAGAGUAUCACCAUAUGCUCUGAGACAUGUAAGUACAGGACUUGGCUCAAAAUAAUUUUGAUCAACCACUCCUGGUGAGAUACUUCAGUCAGUUCGCAAUGUCUUUUUAAUAUAGCAACAUUGAGAUGACAGCCACAACUCGAGGCUCCUAUACCAUCAGAUCUUAUAACUCAAUGUUCAAUUCUACCAUGAUUCUUCAUUCUAGCAAGGCAACUAAGAUAACUUUCUUCUGCCCUCUAACAGGUUAUUACGUCAAACUCUUCAAAUGACUCAUUGCAAAACAUUCUGUCUCAUAACAUGUGGCAGACACCUACGUCAAUAUGUAUGUCUCAUUUUUUCUCCAAUUAAUUAUCCAACUUAGUGUUUUGAACAUUUAUAAUCCUGUUAUAAGAAAUGUAGCUGGAAGUGUAGUUGUGGAUCGCAGAGCCUGUAGGAUCAAAAUGUGGGGAUUGGGGAAAAACACUUUCAAUUAACAAAGAGAGUGAAAUCAAAAUCUCAUGCCAAAAUGAAAAUCCACAGUAUUUGUUGAAACUGAAACCACCAGACUCAUGUUGUCUGGAGCAGCUUUGGUUAGCUAUACGAAAAUUAAAGAAGUCAUAUCAACGCAAUUGGCACCCAAACAUGCCAAAAUAAGACCAUGCACAUAAGUUGCAGUAUAUGUCAUGCAUUCAUCAGUCACUAUCCAAAGUAAUAUGCAUCAGAAGCUUUUGUACAAAGUAAACCACCAACAGAAAGAUAUGAAAAUGGAACAGACCUUUGAAACCAUCUUGACUACC